rnacentral:rRNA from 1 species
CCUACGGGUGGCAGCAGUGGGGAAUAUUGGGCAAUGGAGGCAACUCUGACCCAGCAAUGCCGCGUGAGUGAUGAAGGUAAUUUUAUUGUAAAGCUCUUUUCUUUGGAACGAAUAAAUGACGGUACCAAAGUAAUAAGCCCCGGCUAACUACGUGCCAGCAGCCGCGGUAAUACGUAGGGGGCAAGCGGUGUUCGGAUUUAUUGGGUUUAAAGGGUGCGCAGGCGGAAUGUCAAGUCAGCGGUAAAAUUUCGGGGCUCAACCCCGUCGUGCCGUUGAAACUGGCGUUCUUGAGUGAGCGAGAAGUAUGCGGAAUGCGUGGUGUAGCGGUGAAAUGCAUAGAUAUCACGCAGAACUCCGAUUGCGAAGGCAGCAUACCGGCGCUCAACUGACGCUCAUGCACGAAAGCGUGGGUAUCGAACAGGAUUAGAUACCCGUGUAGUC